GGGGCCUGGGGGACUGGGUGAAGCCUGGGGUGCCCGCGAGGGAGCCCCAGCACAGGUGCUGCAUGGCCGUCGUCAGCUCGUGUCGUGAGAUGUUGGGUUAAGUCCCGCAACGAGCGCAACCCCCGCCCUUAGUUGCCAGCGGGUUGGGCCGGGCACUCUAAGGGGACUGCCUGCGAAAGCAGGAGGAAGGCGGGGACGACGUCUGGUCAUCAUGGCCCUUACGGCCUGGGCGACACACGUGCUACAAUGCCCACUACAGAGCGAGGCGACCCAGUGAUGGGGAGCGAAUCGCAAAAAGGUGGGCGUAGUUCGGAUUGGGGUCUGCAACCCGACCCCAUGAAGCCGGAAUCGCUAGUAAUCGCGGAUCAGCCAUGCCGCGGUGAAUACGUUCCCGGCCUUGUACACACC
rnacentral:rRNA from 1 species